rnacentral:rRNA from 1 species
GACGAACGCUGGCGGCGUGCUUAACACAUGCAAGUCGAACGGAAAGGCCCUGCUUGCAGGGUGCUCGCGUGGCGAACGGGUGAGUAACACGUGGGUGAUCUGCCCCUUACUUUGGGAUAAGCCUGGGAAAAUGGGUCUAAUACUGGAUAGGACCAUGCUGUAGGUGGUGUGGUGGAAAGAUUAGUUUCGGUAGGGGAUGAGCUCGCGGCCUAUCAGCGUGUUGGUGGGGUAAUGGCCUACCAAGGCGUCGACGGGUAGCCGGCCUGAGAGGGUGGACGGCCACAUUGGGACUAAGAUACGGCCCAGACGCCUACGGGAGGCAGCAGUGGGGAAUAUUGCACAAUGGGCGCAAGCCUGAUGCAGCGACGCCGCGGGGGGGAUGACGGCCUUCGGGUUGUAAACUCCUUUCAGCCAUGACGAAGCCCUUGUGGUGACGGUAGUGGGAGAAGAAGCACCGGCUAACUACGUG